rnacentral:lncRNA from 1 species
AUAAUUGACUUAGUAUUUAUGGUUCAGUUGGUUUCACGUAAAUUGGAUAAGUAUGACUUUGUGAAUGUAAUAAAGAACUGAUGGUUUUCAUGAGAUGAAAUUGGUUUUCUACCUAUCGUGGUAACGUGUUUUAAAGAAAAAGAUUUUCGUGUGGGAAAUGAUUUUGAAAAGAUUUUUAUUGGUUUUCAUGACUCUUAGGGCUUGUUUGGUUCAUUCAUUUUGGAUAUGGAAUGGAAAUCGGUUUGAUCAAAUCCGAUUAAUUUUGUUUGGUUUAUAGGAAUCGAUUUAGGAUUCCUAUUCCGGACUGGAAUGGGAAUGACACAUUAGCCUUCAAACUAAUUCCGGCCUCCAAGCCCGGAAUGAGAUUUCAUUCCCGAAGCCCAUUGGGUUCCCGAAGCCCCCCGAAGCCCAUUGGGUUGCGAUUCAAUACCCAAAGCUCAAAAGGUUUUCUGUAAUUAACACACUAGAAUUGCAAUUCCCAAUUAGCUUUCCAAUUGCGAUUCAAUACCCAAAGCCCAUUGGGUUUCGGACUGGAAUAUGAAAAAUGUACAGAGACCCUAUGUAAAACGACUCUUUAAUUGAUUUUUUUAUAAUUUUUUUCUUGCAUAAAAGUUUUUAAAAAUAAAUUUAAUUUUUUUUGAAAAACUCAUUAGAGAAUAAUAUUAUAUUUUUCAUAAAUUUUAAAUAAUAUAAUAUUAUAUUUGAGUGUUAAAUUAGUAUUAUGAUAUCCUAUAAUUUUUUAGUUUAUAUGAACCAAACAAUGGAAUAGGAAUAACUCAUUCCAAUUCCCAAUCCACAAAUGAACCAAACGUCUUCGGGGAGUGGACCAUUCCAAUUGCCAUUCCAAUUCAUUCCCAUUUCAUUAUUCAUUCCAAUUCCAUCCUUAAACCAAACAAGCCCUUAGUGUUUCAAAAUGAGUUUCCGGAUAGGAAACACUUUAAACUAAUAGACGUGGAGUUAUGUAUAUCUAUGAUAAAACGAAUAUGAAUGUGAAUGGUGAAUGUAUGUGGAUAUUCAUAUUUUUUUGGUUGUAUCUUGUACUUGUGUGGCACUGUGCAAAUAUAAGGGAGACUCUGUCCGUGUGAACAGUGGGAUUCCCUGUAUUUGUGGCAGAUCUGACAUACUCUUGGGUCAAGAUUUUCAAAAAAUAAAAAUAAAAAUUUGGGCACUUCUGCAUUGGUUUUAAAUCCAAAAGGGACCCCGGGGAGUGACAUUAAAUCCGUGGAGUCGGUAAUCACCUUAUAAUCUUUUCUCUUAGUAAAUUAUUUUUUCGCAUGUUGAUCCCGUAGGUUUUUCUCCAAAUUGGAGUUUUCCCACGUAAAUCUCGAUGUGCUAUUUUAUUUUCCGCAUUUAUUUUUUAUCGCAUUCAGAUUUUAGUUUUUGGGCUAUACACCUAGUCACUCCCCUCUAGGUGUUUGAUAGUAUCUUCAUAGAUCCUAAGGUUCCCAUAAUAAACAAAUGGGAAUCGACUGAAGCAACUAAAUGGGAAGGAGAUAACCGUCGGGAAGGAAGAACGACAACGAACUCGACCAAAUUUUUCGUCCAGAAAGGCACAUCAGGAGGCAGAGUGGCAUCUAGAGAGGCGAGUGACAUCUAGGGGUUUUUUUUAAUAAGGGGGUUAUCCCCUAUUUAUCCCCAAACAAUAUUUUGCGUCCCCUCCCCCCAUGGUAUUGGGAUGGGACCAAUUUAAUUUUUUAAUUUAAAUUUAAAAUUUAAUUUUUAAAUUUAAAUUUAAAUAUUAAAUUUUUUAAAUUUAAAAAUUUGUAAGCUUAAAAUUGAUAUUUAUAAUUUUAAAUUAUAAUUUUAAAUUUUUUAAAUUUAAAAUUUGAUAUAUAAUAUUUUUAAUUUUAAAUUUAAUCUUAAAAUCAAAAUUUAGAAUUUUAAAUUUUUGAAUUUGAGAUUUAAAAAUUUAAUUUUUAUUUUGAAUUUUUUAAUUUUUAAAGUUAUAUAUUUAAAUAUAAAAUUUUAAUUAGAAACUUUAAAAUUUAAAUUCAAAUAUUAUGAAUGAGCAAUAUCUUUUUUUUCUAUUUAUAACUAUCCAUUAUUCUUCUUAUUCUAUCUUAUCUAUUCAAAAAUUAUUUUUCCUAUUCUCGAAAAUAAUCUAAUUUUCAUCCAAAUCUAAAAUUAGUUUAUUUUAAAUUUAACCCUGAAUUUAUACAUAUCUCAGAAAAAAUUAGUUCUUGUUUAAUACUGAACCAAGCCUAUAAAAAAAAAGAGUUU